rnacentral:rRNA from 1 species
CUACGGGCCGCUCCAGUGAGGAAUAUUGCACAAUGGGGGGAACCCUGAUGCAGCAACGCCGCGUGGAGGAUGACGCAUUUCGGUGUGUAAACUCCUUUUAUAUGUCAAGAAAAUGACGGUAGCAUAUGAAUAAGCACCGGCUAACUCCGUGCCAGCAGCCGCGGUAAUACGGAGGGUGCAAGCGUUACUCGGAAUCACUGGGCGUAAAGGACGCGUAGGCGGGUUGGAAAGUCAGGUGUGAAAUCCUACAGCUUAACUGUAGAACUGCACUUGAAACUUCUAAUCUAGAGUAUGGGAGGGGGAGAUGGAAUUAGUGGUGUAGGGGUAAAAUCCGUAGAUAUCACUAGAAAUACCUGAAGCGAAGGCGAUCUCCUGGAACAUUACUGACGCUAAGGCGUGAAGGCGUGGGGAGCAAACAGGAUUAGAUACCCUUGUAGUC